CUGAAUUCAUUUUUAGUUUUUCUCUUGCUAACAUAGGCCUGUUUAGGUCCAGGUGUUUACUCUUUUCUGCCUAACCAUGUUCUAAUCAGGUGAAUCUGUCCUGAGUUCAAAGAUGCAUCCUGAUUGAGCUAAGCUAAAACACAACAAUUCCAGUCCCUCUUCCUAUGACUUCUUAAGGCACAGAAAUGUGUUGCAAUUUUGAUCAAUGAGACGUGAAGAAAAGCCACUGAGAACUUCUGUAAAAGGUUCCUUAAAUCUUAAAAAAAAAAAAAGAAAAAGAAAGAAAGAAAGAAAGAAAAGAAAACAUAGUUCCUCUUCUUUUAGAUGUUCUCAAGUCUGAGAAAAUGAUCCCUGGGGAUGAAAUCUGGAGAAGAAUGGAAAGAUGCUGGCCCUUGACUGUAUUAUUCAGCCUCUGACUUGAAAAACCCUAUGCUAGUCACUCUUCCUCCAAACAUGUCUCCUGGUAGAAUGGAAGACUUUACUGAAAUUAAAUUUUUGGACACUGGACCCAUCUAUUUUUUUGAUCAGAUAAAACCAAAAAGGAAAAUAUGGGAAAAGAGAAAAUGUGAAGACCACUUCCCCCUUUUGGAGUGCACUGAAGGAGCUAACUAUAAUCCUACAAGGAGUAUAUUUAAAGAACUAGAGAAAGCAAAACUUUCUACAGUAGCUGAAUCCGGGGAGAAAGAUGAGUUCAUCUCAUUUGGUGUCUCACAAACAUCUAGUGUUUCUAUGUUAUCUACUAAUUUAAAAUUUUCCAAACUACAACUGCAAAAGUCUCUGUUUGAAGAAUACAAACUCACUGCUGCUGAAAUACUGUAUGAACUUGAGGAGGUAUUACAGAAAUAUGCUGUGUAUAACAUUACUUUCCCUGUGGGAAUUGUAAAUCUUGUGGAUUACAGUUGGCACGAUCUUACUUCAGAUGCUUAUAAGUAUGCAACCAAAAAUCCUAUGUUGAAGAAAUGUAGUGCCUUAAAAGAUGAUACCAGUAUCAUGACUAUGAUCGACUUAAAGGGAUACAAAAUCAACAGCUGCUCAAGAGAAGAAUGUCAUAAGAGGAACUGCCUGGUGAAAGUAAAAGAAGACCAUCACGAUGCAGCAAGUAAACCUGUGGUAAAAACAUGUAAGUAG
rnacentral:lncRNA from 1 species